rnacentral:sRNA from 1 species
AACAGAGACUAUGUCUACCUUCGGCAGCGGCGAGACCUGGACAUGGAAGGGAGGAAGAUCCAUGUGAUCCUGGCCCGGAGCACCUCCAUGCCUCAGCUUGGCGAGAGGUCUGGGGUGAUCCGGGUGAAGCAAUACAAGCAGAGCCUGGCGAUCGAGAGUGACGGCAAGAAGGGGAGCAAAGUUUUCAUGUAUUACUUCGAUAACCCGGGUGGCCAAAUUCCGUCCUGGCUCAUUAACUGGGCCGCCAAGGCUGGCCUUGAGCUCCUGACCUCAAGCAAUCCACUGGCCUCGGCCUCUCAAAGUGCUGGGAUUACAGGCAUGAGCCACCACACCCGGCCAAUCAGAGCAGAACCAAGCGGGAAGCUCAGAAUCAGAGAGAUCUCAUCAAGUUUUCGGCAAACCCAAACAUUCUGCAAUAGAUUGAGUGGAAGGAAGAGGAAGGACAUAAAGAUAAAGACAUGAGAAAAGAAGCUGAGUCUUUGUUGAAACACUGAAAUGGGUGCAGACUCUUCAAAGAUACUCUUCAGUGGCUUUGUUUCCAAAUGAAAACCAGAAAAAUGAUGCUGGAAUUUCAUAGAGGCAGCGGCGGAUGGAAGAGGGCUCCUCCUGU